rnacentral:rRNA from 1 species
GAUGAACGCUGACAGAAUGCUUAACACAUGCAAGUCAACUGUGGCGGACGGGUGAGUAACGCGUAAAGAACUUGCCUCACAGAUAGGGACACCAUUUGGAAACGAAUGCUAAUACCUGAUACUGUGAGAGAGCUUCGCGUCCCAUUAGCUAGUUGGAGAGGUAACGGCUCACCAAGGCGAGGAUGGGUCGCCGGCCUGAGAGGGUGAUCGGCCACAAGGGGACUGAGAGACGGACCGUACGCCUACGGGAAGCAGCAGUGGGGAAUAUUGGACAAUGGACCAAAGUCUGAUGCAGCAAUGCAGUGUGCAGGAUGAAGUUUUCGGAAUGUAAAGUGCUUGCAGUUGGAAAGCAGUACCAGCAGAAGAAGCGCCGGCUAACUACGUGCAAGCAGCCGCGGUAAUAC